rnacentral:rRNA from 1 species
GAACAAGUACCGUGAGGGAAAGAUGAAAAGCACUUUGGAAAGAGAGUUAAACAGUAUGUGAAAUUGUUGAAAGGGAAACGAUUGAAGCCGAGUCAUCUGCUCUCUGAGUAGAGGUCAACAUCGGUUGGGGGCGRCGGACAAGGGYCGGGGGAAGGUAGCACCUYGGUGUGUUUAUAGACCCCGGCCGUAUACGUCGCGCCCGACCGAGGACUGCAGCUCGCCCCUCACGGGGCCGGGGUACGCCCACGUCCGAGCUUGGGAUGUUGGCAUCACCGGCUUCAAACGACCCGUCUUGAAACACGGACCAAGGAGUCUAACAUAUCUGCGAGUGUUAGGGUGUCAAACCCGUGCGCGUAAUGAAAGUAAACGAAGGGACCCCCCGGGGGCACCUUUGACCGAUCCCGAGCAUGCGACGGAUUUGAGUAGGAGCAUAUAUGCUGGGACCCGAAAGAUGGUGAACUAUGCUUGAAUAGGGUGAAGCCAGGGGAAACUCUGGUGGAAGCUCGUAGCGAUUCUGACGUGCAAAUCGAUCGUCAAAUUUGGGUAUAGGGGCGAAAGACUAAUCGAACCAUCUAAUGG